UAUGUCUCUACUGGAACAUGCUGCUUAUAGUACAUUAGGAAAAAUCAUCCAGAACUUGGAAAAGGGGCUGGACAGACACAGCCUUUCGAGGUUGUCUGAUGAACCCCUGGGGUCUUUAACCAUCUGGAGGGAUGUACUAUGUCAGACUCACUGUUGUCAACCAGCUGAAGCCCAGGUUUCAUGAGGUUAUGUGUCAACUUGUAGUCCUUUCUCUGGCAGAGAUGCGAGUGACUUCUGCUCAGUGAGAGGCUCAUCUCAGGGACUUCAUGGCCUGAGGGACGGCAGCCUGUUUGAGCUGAUCGAGCAAUCUCGCGCUACCCUUCUUUUCUGAAACGCCUAUGAGUUUCACACUUUAAAGACGAGUUCUCACACGGUCUUUAAAGCGGCUUCAUGCCCGCGCUCCUUGGUAAUGAUUGAAUGCUUUUUAUGACCCCUUGUCCCCUUUCUUUGGGGUGUUCCAGUCUCAGUUCUCAUGAUGUGUUCUGCUUCUGCAGGAAUUUCUGAAGCUGCUGAGUGUAGAAAGCACUGAGGAGGCUGUGCUCCCACCCCUGUGAGUCUUCCAGGCAUGAUCCUCUCCCCUCGGCGAGGCGGCGUCCAUGGCACACCGAGGAGGCUGUGCUCCUGUCCCCCGUGAGCUUUCCAGAAGUGAGGGUGAACGCUGAGUUAUUCACGGGAGUCAAGAAACCACACGCAGCCCAAAGUGACGUUUGUUUCCCUGAAAUGAUUUGUGUGUGUUCACCUUAAAAUGCAACUCAGUAAAA